AAACACAAUCCCAUUUUUUAUCUUGGGGUAUUUAUAUACAGUUUGGGAUUACAAAGCGAGACAUCUUGGAAUAGUGAUUCAUGGAUUUUCGACUGGGAUAAUUUUAAUACCACGCGUUUGUUUUGUUUGCGUCCAUGGGGAUGUAAACGUAUAUAUACCGUAUGAUAUUUCCUUGCAUGAACAAUACAUUUUAAGGCUUAGAUUCAAACAAUUAACCAUGGGCUCCGCAUCUAGUGUUAUGUCUUACAACGCACCAAAAAGGGACGGAGUGUCCGCCCGGAAGGUAGUGAAAUAUGGUGCCAAGGCGGUCGUCACAGUGAUUCAAGUUGCUGCGGCACUGUCCGAGUGGGGGCUGAUUUAGCGAAGGCUGCUUACUUCAGCGCUAAACAUCUUCGAAAACGACUAUUAAGACAAUAGAUAUACGCAAAUGAACCAUAUAUUGAAAAUAUGUCAACAUCAGCGAUCUUGGACUUGUGUGAACAUUAACUUCAUUUUUUACUUUAUAGUCAUGUAAUAUACUUACUGGUAAUGUUUAGGCAACAUAGCAUGAACUUUUAGUCGACAUGGCGUGAUGUUUUUUCCGUUUAUGAUAAGGCUUGUUUUAUACAAAUAACAGCAUUUCUUGGAUUUAAAAUGACAGUAUAUUUUCAAAAUAAAUUCGUUCUAAAUAUAA